rnacentral:rRNA from 1 species
CGCCUGUUUAACAAAAACAUCGUUUUUUGAGUAUAAUAUAAGAUCGAGCCUGCCCUAUGAUUAAUUAAAUGGCCGCGGUAUUUUAACCGUGCGAAGGUAGCAUAAUCAUUAGUCUUUUAAUUGGAGACUUGUAUGAAAGGUUUGACGAAAGAAAAACUGUCUCACUUAUAUAAUUAGAAUUUUAACUCUAAGUGAAAAUGCUUAGAUUUAUUUGAAAGACGAGAAGACCCUAUAGAGUUUUAUAGUUUUUAUGUUUUUAAUUUUGUAAGAAUGAUCAAUUUAGAGCGUAGAAUUAUUUGAUUGGGGUGAUAGGAAAAUAUAAUCAACUUUUCUUUAAUUUUUAUACUGAUAUGUAUAUAUUUGAUCCAUAAUUUAUGAUUAAAAGAUUAAAUUACCUUAGGGAUAACAGCGUUAUUUCUUUUUAGAGUUCUUAUCGAAUAAGAAGUUUGCGACCUCGAUGUUGGAUUAA